UCUCUCUGCUCUCUCGGUUGCUCUAUCUCUCUCGCGAGUUUUCUCUGCUCUCGCUUUGCUUGCGAAGUGAAUGACAGCAACAGCAAAGCACUCUUUCUCUCGGUUUCGUUCGUGGUGAAGAAUAACAACGCUUGUGAUUCUCACCCUGUGAAACAACAACAACGAUAGAGUUCUUUCUUUCUCAAGAUCACUCUCUCUCUUUGUUCUCUCUCGCUCACGGUUAUAACAACAAAACGAUAGUUGGUCCUCUCUCGGUUCUUCCCUCACGAUUUUCUCUUAGAGCAACAACAUCAAUUUUACUCAAACAGAAUUGAGGUACAACAACAAUAGUGACUUGGCCUCAUUUCAAUCGGUUACCUCUCUCUCUGAAUCGCUAUUUUUGCUCUGUGAAUAACAGUAACAAUGCUCAACCAAUCUCUCUUAGUUUCACGGCAGCCAUUGGUGAACAAGAAGUUGUUUUAAAGGUAUGGUUCUCACAGAUUUUGUUUCUAUGGAACAAUUCAUUUUCUUAUGCUCUCUUGUUUUUUUUUGGUUUUGAGCAAAUUAUAAGUGAAGAACAGAUAAUAGUGAUAUCAAAAGUGGAAGGAGAACCGAAUUACCUGCGGCGAGGAGGAUUUCGCCGGUUUAAUUGCUGCUAUGGCUUUUGAUGAAGGUGAUACCAUAACACCUCUUUGGAUUCGCGGGAACUUUGGAUAUUAAGGAGACUUGAAGAUGAUCUUCAAGUGGAAACCUUCCACCAAGGUAUGAACUAUUUCUUCACCCUUUUUCAAACUAUGGAACUUUGAAAAUUAUGAAAAGAGAGAAGUGAGAAAGCUAGUAGUAUAGUAGCUUUGGUGUGUUUUGCAAUGAAGAGAACACCUCUAUUUAUGGGA